AUCUUUGUGCUGAAGGAGUACCACAGCCAAUGAGGGUAAUCCAAGAUGUAGUUUUUGCUAGUCACAAACUCAAAUAAUAAUAAUAAUAAUAUAAAAGAUGUCUACUUGCUAAGAAUGAUUUUCGAAGUAGCAUGCUUUCU
rnacentral:snRNA from 1 species